UUCCUAUUGAGUAUGCAUUCCAAGGUCCA
rnacentral:piRNA from 1 species